CCAAAAAUAGAGGAAAUAUACUUAAAGUAAUUGAACUGGAGUUCUGAAAUAAAUCUAUGAAAAUAUAACUACUGAAAUAUAAAUGUGAAAGAAAACUGAACGGUUCCCUAUGGCGAUCCACGGUCACUUCUUAUCAUUCGCCAGUUUUCCCUUGCCUCUACCCUUACCUGAAAACUAAACAUUUAAAAGAGUGAGUAUAAAUUUAUACUUAGUAAGAGACCCAUAUUGGUCUCAGUAUGUGUCUGUUAACCUAGAGUCAUGUAACAUGGUACUGCAUACUAUUGCGCUCCCGAACGCAUACUAUCCAAUGGUCCCGUAGGGACACAUUUGGGCUCUUGGUGAACCCGAAGGAAUAACCCUAUAGGAGAGUCGGGUUGUAAGUGAUCCCAUCGAAUCACAUCUCAAACCAGCCACAUAGGCAUACA
rnacentral:lncRNA from 1 species